CCUACGGGAGGCAGCAGUAGGGAAUCUUCCACAAUGGGCGAAAGCCUGAUGGAGCAACGCCGCGUGGGUGAAGAAGGUCUUCGGAUCGUAAAACCCUGUUGUUAGAGAAGAAAGUGCGUGAGCGUAACUGUUCACGUUUCGACGGUAUCUAACCAGAAAGCCACGGCUAACUACGUGCCAGCAGCCGCGGUAAUACGUAGGUGGCAAGCGUUAUCCGGAUUUAUUGGGCGUAAAGGGAACGCAGGCGGUCUUUUAAGUCUGAUGUGAAAGCCUUCGGCUUAACCGGAGUAGUGCAUUGGAGACUGGGAGACUUGAGUGCAGAAGAGGAGAGUGGAACUCCAUGUGUAGCGGUGAAAUGCGUAGAUAUAUGGAAGAACACCAGUGGCGAAAGCGGCUCUCUAGUCUGUAACUGACGCUGAGGUUCGAAAGCGUGGGUAGCAAACAGGAUUAGAUACCCCUGUAGUC
rnacentral:rRNA from 1 species